UUGAACGCUGGCGGCAUGCCUUACACAUGCAAGUCGAACGGUAACGGGCCGUUCGGGUGCCGACGAGUGGCGAACGGGUGAGUAAUGUAUCGGAACGUACCUUUCAGGUGGGGAUAACGUAGCGAAAGUUACGCUAAUACCGCAUAUUCUGUGCGCAGGAAAGCAGGGGAUCGCAAGACCUUGCGCUGAUUGAGCGGCCGAUAUCAGAUUAGCUAGUUGGUGAGGUAAAGGCUCACCAAGGCGACGAUCUGUAGCGGGUCUGAGAGGAUGAUCCGCCACACUGGAACUGAGACACGGUCCAGACUCCUACGGGAGGCAGCAGUGGGGAAUUUUGGACAAUGGGGGCAACCCUGAUCCAGCCAUGCCGCGUGAGUGAAGAAGGCCUUCGGGUUGUAAAGCUCUUUUCGGCCGGGAAGAAAUCGUAUCAGCUAAUACCUGGUGCGGAUGACGGUACCGGCAUAAGAAGCACCGGCUAACUACGUGCCAGCAGCCGCGGUAAUACGUAGGGUGCGAGCG
rnacentral:rRNA from 1 species